CAUCAUAUGGCUCAGUGGCAGACCAUUUGAUUGCAGAUCAAGAGGUUCCCUGGUUCAAAUCUGGGUGUCCCCG